rnacentral:rRNA from 1 species
GGGUCUGUCCAUUGGUCGGGCUUUACGGUCCGUACUGGUGAGAUGGGUUCCUACCUUCUGAAUAACCGGCAUGCCAUUUAGUAGGUGCGCCGGGGAAGCAGAGCUAUUACCUUGAAAAAAUUAGAGUGCUUAAAGCAGGCUAUUGCUUGAAUAGAUUAGCAUGGAAUAAUAAAAUAGGGCGGCAUGGUUCUAUUUUGUUGGUUUCUAGGAUCACCGUA